rnacentral:rRNA from 1 species
AGAGGUUGAUCCUGGCUCAGAUUGAACGCUGGCGGCAGGCCUAACACAUGCAAGUCGAGCGGAUGAAGGGAGCUUGCUCCUGGAUUCAGCGGCGGACGGGUGAGUAAUGCCUAGGAAUCUGCCUGGUAGUGGGGGAUAACGUCCGGAAAACGGGCGCUAAUUCCGCAUACGUCCUGAGGGAGAAAAGUGGGGGAUCUUCGGACCUCACGUUAUCAGAUGAGCCUAGGUCGGAUUAGCUAGUUGGUGGGGUAAAGGCCUACCAAGGCGACGAUCCGUAACUGGUCUGAGAGGAUGAUCAGUCACACUGGAACUGAGACACGGUCCAGACUCCUACGGGAGGCAGCAGUGGGGAAUAUUGGACAAUGGGCGAAAGCCUGAUCCAGCCAUGCCGCGUGUGUGAAGAAGGUCUUCGGAUUGUAAAGCACUUUAAGUUGGGAGGAAGGGCAGUAAGUUAAUACCUUGCUGUUUUGACGUUACCAACAGAAUAAGCACCGGCUAACUUCGUGCCAGCAGCCGCGGUAAUACGAAGGGUGCAAGCGUUAAUCGGAAUUACUGGGCGUAAAGCGCGCGUAGGUGGUUCAGCAAGUUGGAUGUGAAAUCCCCGGGCUCAACCUGGGAACUGCAUCCAAAACUACUGAGCUAGAGUACGGUAGAGGGUGGUGGAAUUUCCUGUGUAGCGGUGAAAUGCGUAGAUAUAGGAAGGAACACCAGUGGCGAAGGCGACCACCUGGACUGAUACUGACACUGAGGUGCGAAAGCGUGGGGAGCAAACAGGAUUAGAUACCCUGGUAGUCCACGCCGUAAA